rnacentral:lncRNA from 1 species
AGAAUAGGCAGUUUCACAAUAACUUUGAAGCCCGUCUUUGAUUGCUGAUAAAAUAGAUGUUAAUAAUUUAGAAAGAGGUUUCGUGGAGCACUUGGAAGACCCAGCAAUUUACCGUUGUUUGUAAGGACACUUAUGUAGUUUAGGUAUCCAAUACAGUGAUGGAAGAUCCAGUUCUUCAUCUUUGGUUGAAAUUCCAAAGGAACACAGAAC